rnacentral:rRNA from 1 species
UUGAACGCUGGCGGCAGGCCUAACACAUGCAAGUCGAACGGUAACAGGAAACAGCUUGCUGUUUCGCUGACGAGUGGCGGACGGGUGAGUAAUGUCUGGGAAACUGCCUGAUGGAGGGGGAUAACUACUGGAAACGGUAGCUAAUACCGCAUAACGUCGCAAGACCAAAGAGGGGGACCUUCGGGCCUCUUGCCAUCGGAUGUGCCCAGAUGGGAUUAGCUAGUAGGUGGGGUAACGGCUCACCUAGGCGACGAUCCCUAGCUGGUCUGAGAGGAUGACCAGCCACACUGGAACUGAGACACGGUCCAGACUCCUACGGGAGGCAGCAGUGGGGAAUAUUGCACAAAGGGCGCAAGCCUGAUGCAGCCAUGCCGCGUGUAUGAAGAAGGCCUUCGGGUUGUAAAGUACUUUCAGCGGGGAGGAAGGGAGUAAAGUUAAUACCUUUGCUCAUUGACGUUACCCGCAGAAGAAGCACCGGCUAACUCCGUG